rnacentral:rRNA from 1 species
AACAGGAUUAGAUACCCUGGUAGUCCACGCUGUAAACGAUGUCGACUUGGAGGUUGUGCCCUUGAGGCGUGGCUUCCGGAGCUAACGCGUUAAGUCGACCGCCUGGGGAGUACGGCCGCAAGGUUAAAACUCAAAUGAAUUGACGGGGGCCCGCACAAGCGGUGGAGCAUGUGGUUUAAUUCGAUGCAACGCGAAGAACCUUACCUACUCUUGACAUCCAGAGAAUUUGCUAGAGAUAGCUUAGUGCCUUCGGGAACUCUGAGACAGGUGCUGCAUGGCUGUCGUCAGCUCGUGUUGCGAAAUGUUGGGUUAAGUCCCGCAACGAGCGCAGCCCUUAUCCUUUGUUGCCAGCACGUAAUGGUGGGAACUCAAAGGAGACUGCCGGUGAUAAACCGGAGGAAGGUGGGGAUGACGUCAAGUCAUCAUGGCCCUUACGAGUAGGGCUACACACGUGCUACAAUGGCAUAUACAAAGAGAAGCGAACUCGCGAGAGCAAGCGGACCUCAUAAAGUAUGUCGUAGUCCGGAUUGGAGUCUGCAACUCGACUCCAUGAAGUCGGAAUCGCUAGUAAUCGUAGAUCAGAAUGCUACGGUGAAUACGUUCCCGGGCCUUGUACACACCGCCCGUCACACCAUGGGAGAGGGUUGCAAAAGAAGUAGGUAGCUUAACCUUCGGGAGGGCGCUUACCACUUUGUGAUUCAUGACUGGGGUGAAGUCGUAACAAGGUAACC